AAGGAUGCAGUUGGAAUAUGUAGAUGUAGUUUUUGCCAACCGCCCUGACAGCAACACUCCCAUGGAGGAGAUUGUUCGGGCCAUGACCUAUGUCAUCAACCAAGGCAUGGCAAUGUACUGGGGGACGUCUCGGUGGACGGCCAUGGAGAUUAUGGAGGCAUAUUCGGUGGCAAGACAGUUUAAUCUGAUCCCUCCAGUGUGUGAGCGGCA